GGUUCUUUGGUGUAGUGGUUAUCACGUAUCCUUCACAAGGUCUCCCAUGCCACUUGUACAGGCAUUGUUCGAUGGCUGUUCGAGCGGCGUGAGGGACUGUCCCCGGAUAAGGCCGCCGGUUCGACCCCGGCAAGGAUCA